CCGGCGAGCGGCCGAUCGCCGCGGCGCUGCCCGGCCGCCCCUACGCGGCGGGGACCGGAGGAGACUAGAGGCGACUCAGCGAGGAGCCCGGUGGCUUUGGCAACCCCAGAGACCUAAGUCCGGCGCGGGCUCUUGAGGAAGAAUUGACAACAUGGCUUCCCCACCGCACCAGCAGCUGCUGCAUCACCACAGCACCGAGGUGAGCUGCGACUCCAGCGGGGACAGCAACAGCGUGACGGUGAAAAUCAACCCCAAGCAGCACCAGGGCUGCACCUCUUCCAAGCACUGCAAGUACAGCAUCUCCUCCAGCUGCAGCUCGGGGGAGUCGGGGGGCACCCGCCGAGCCGGCGGAGCGGGUGUCAGCGGCUCCGGCCUCCGCCGGCAGAAGAAGCUGCCGCAGCUCUUUGAGAGGGCCUCUUCCAAGUGGUGGAACCCCAAGUUCGACUCCAACAACCUGGAGGAGGCUUGCAUGGAGAGAUGCUUUCCGCAGACCCAGCGCAGGUUUCGCUAUGCCCUCUUCUACAUCGGCGUGGCCUGUCUGCUCUGGGGCAUCUACUUCGGCAUACACAUGAGAGAGAAACAGAUAGUUUUCAUGGUGCCGGCUCUGUGCUUCCUUCUGGUAUGUGUAGCUUUUUUUGUGUUCACUUUCACUAAGACUUAUUCCCGCCAUUACGUAUGGACUUCGCUGAUACUCACCCUCCUGGUGUUUGCUCUGACCCUCGCUCCGCAGUUCCAGGCUCUGAAGCCUGUCUCAGGAAGUGGUGACAUGUCCAACCGGACUCCCCCGGCAGAUCCCACAGACACUUGUCUUUCUCAAGUGGGCAGUUUUUCUAUGUGUAUUGAAGUGCUCUUGUUGCUUUACACAGUGAUGCACUUACCCCUGUAUUUAAGCUUGUUUCUGGGACUGUCGUACUCGGUCCUCUUCGAGACCUUUGGUUAUCACUUCCGUGAUGAGAACUGUUUCACACCUCUGGGAGCUGGUGCGGUUUACUGGGAGCUCUUGAGCAAAGCCUUCCUGCACAUCUGCAUCCACGCCAUUGGUAUUCAUUUAUUUAUCAUGUCCGAAGUCAGAUCAAGAAGCACAUUCCUGAAAGUGGGGCAAUCCAUCAUGCAUGGAAAGGACUUGGAAGUGGAAAAAGCCCUGAAAGAGAGGAUGAUUCAUUCUGUUAUGCCAAGAAUAAUAGCUGAUGACUUAAUGAAGCAGGGGGAUGAUGAAAGUGAAAACUCCAUCAAACGUCAUUCCACCUCAAGCCCCAAAAACAGGAAGAAGAAGCCCUCCAUACAGAAAACCCCCAUAAUAUUCCGUCCUUUUAAAAUGCAGCAGAUCGAGCAAGUGAGCAUUUUGUUCGCAGAUAUUGUUGGCUUCACGAAAAUGAGCGCCAACAAAUCAGCCCACGCCCUGGUGGGACUCCUGAACGACCUCUUUGGACGCUUUGACCGUCUGUGUGAGGACACUAAAUGUGAGAAGAUCAGCACUUUGGGAGACUGCUACUACUGCGUGGCGGGCUGCCCCGAGCCCCGGGCAGAUCAUGCUUAUUGCUGCAUCGAGAUGGGCUUGGGGAUGAUCAAAGCCAUCGAGCAGUUCUGCCAGGAGAAGAAAGAAAUGGUGAACAUGAGAGUCGGUGUUCACACCGGGACAGUGCUGUGUGGCAUUUUGGGAAUGAGGAGGUUCAAGUUCGAUGUGUGGUCCAACGAUGUGAAUUUGGCCAAUCUGAUGGAGCAGCUCGGGGUGGCUGGGAAGGUCCAUAUUUCGGAAGCUACUGCCAAAUAUUUGGAUGAUCGUUAUGAAAUGGAGGAUGGAAAGGUGGUUGAGCGUGUCGGUCAGAGCGUGGUAGCCGAUCAGUUAAAAGGUUUAAAGACCUAUCUGAUCUCGGGUCAGAAGGUGAAGGAGCCCCACUGCAGCUGUUCUCAAGCGUUGCUUCCUGGCUUGGAGUCUGCAGACGGAGCCAGGACCCCGGGAACGUCGGCAGCCGAGAACUCCAGCGACCUGACCAAGGCAACCAAGCAGGUGGAAAAACCCAAGCCUUGCCCUUCAUGUAGUACCACACUUGCUCCCCACUGCGAUGUCAGCAUAGAUGAAGGAGCUAUCCAAAAUGGUUGUCAGGAUGAGCAUAAAAACAGUACAAAGGCUCCAGGAGGACACAGUCCAAAGACUCAGAAUGGGCUUCUGAGCCCUCCCCAGGAGGAGAAGCUCAGCAACAGCCAGACCUCUCUGUAUGAGAUGCUGCAGGAGAAGGGGCGCUGGGGCGGGGUGAGCCUGGAUCAGUCAGCCCUGCUCCCUCUGAGGUUCAAAAACAUCCGAGAAAAGACAGAUGCCCACUUCGUGGAUGUGAUUAAAGAAGACAGCCUCAUGAAAGAUUACUUCUUUAAACCACCUAUUAACAAGCUGAGCCUCAACUUCUUGGAUCAGGAUUUGGAGAUGGCCUACAGGACGAGCUACCAGGAAGAGGUUAUAAGGAAUGCUCCAGUGAAGACAUUUGCCAGUGCAACCUUUAGCUCACUCCUGGACGUGUUCCUGUCCACCACAGUCUUCCUCAUCCUCUCCAUCACGUGUUUCCUCAAGCACGGGAUGGUGGCGUCGCCUCCUCCUCCUGCGGCCGUCGUGGUGUUCGUCAUCGCCAUCCUGCUGGAAGUGCUGUCCCUUGUCGUCUCCAUCAGGAUGGCGUUCUUCCUGGAGGAGGUGAUGACUUGCACCAAGCGUCUCCUGGAGGUGAUAUCUGGCUGGCUGCCUCGACACUUCUUUGGUGCAAUCCUGGUUUCUCUCCCAGCUCUUGCAGUUUUUUCACACUUCACCUCUGAUUUUGAAACAAAUAUACAUUACACCAUGUUCAUGUGUUGUGCCAUUCUCAUCACCAUUGUGCAGUACUGUAACUUCUGCCAGCUCAGCUCCUGGAUGAGAUCCCUGCUGGCAACCGUGGUGGGAGCAGUGCUGCUCAUCCUGCUCUACGUCUCCUUGUGCCCCUCCAGCUCCAUGGAAGCUCCUCAUCUAGAUUUGGCACAGAACUUUAGCUCCAGGAAGAGCCCAUGCAACAGCUCGGCGCCGAGCGCGGCGCAGCGACCGGCGGAGCUCAUUGGCCACGAGGUGGUUCUGGUGUCCUUCCUGCUGCUCCUGCUCGUCUGGUUCCUGAACCGCGAGUUCGAGGUCAGUUACCGCCUGCACUACCACGGGGACGUGGAGGCCGACCUGCACCGCACCAAGAUCCAGAGCAUGAGGGAUCAGGCAGACUGGCUGCUGAGGAAUAUCAUCCCCUACCACGUGGCCGAGCAGCUGAAGGUGUCCCAGAGCUAUUCCAAAAACCACGACAGCGGCGGGGUGAUCUUUGCCAGCAUCGUCAACUUCAGUGAGUUCUACGAGGAGAACUACGAGGGUGGCAAGGAGUGUUACCGGGUCCUGAACGAGCUCAUCGGGGACUUCGACGAGCUGCUGAGCAAACCCCACUACAGCAGCAUCGAGAAGAUCAAAACCAUCGGGGCCACCUACAUGGCAGCCUCGGGGCUCAACACCUCGCAGUGCCAGGACAGCAGCCAUCCCCACGGGCACCUGCAGACCCUUUUUGAAUUUGCCAAAGAAAUGAUGCGGGUGGUGGAUGACUUCAACAACAACAUGCUGUGGUUUAACUUUAAGCUCCGGAUCGGCUUCAACCACGGCCCCCUCACGGCCGGGGUCAUCGGCACCACCAAGCUGCUGUAUGACAUCUGGGGGGACACUGUGAACAUCGCCAGCAGGAUGGACACCACCGGCGUCGAGUGCCGCAUCCAGGUGAGUGAGGAGAGCUACCGCAUCCUCAGCAAGAUGGGGUAUGACUUUGACUACAGGGGGACGGUCAAUGUGAAGGGGAAGGGUCAGAUGAAGACCUACCUUUACCCCAAGUGCAUGGACAACGGGAUCGUGCCGCAUCACCAGUUGUCCAUAUCUCCAGACAUUCGGGUUCAAGUGGAUGGCAGCAUCGGGCGGUCUCCGACGGAUGAGAUCGCCAACCUGGUGCCUUCUGUACAGAAUUCUGAUAAGAUAGCCCAUGGCACAGAUAGCUCAGAAGCCAAGGACAUCCUUCCUCCCGCCAAGAAGCUCGAGAAAGAUGCGGCGAAGGCAGAGGAGAGGUGCAGGUUUGGCAAAGCUGUGGAAAAGGAUGACUGUGAGGAAGCGGGGACUGAGGAGGUCAAUGAACUGACAAAGCUAAAUAUCUCUAAGAGUGUAUGAUGAACUGUCAGAGUUGCAUGAAGUGCUCUGUCCAUAGAAACACACAGACUUUUGCAAUUGGCAGUUUUCUUUUUCAAGAGAGACCUUCUCCACACCUGGGUUGUACGUUUGUGUUCAUUUCGGCACCUGGGGCUGUGUGGAUCAUGGCUCUUCAGGGCUUGUUUUCAUCCAUCUCUCUCCUCCAUGCCCCAAAUCACAUCCCAAGCUCCCCAGCUCCCUGUGCAGCCAUCUUACAGCUGAGUAGAGGAUAUUAAGUGCCUUCAGAUAUACUCCAUUGGACUCCCUGUCAAGGUACAGAGGCCCCAAGUGAAAUCAUAGCUUUGGGUAUUUAUCUAAUUUUAAAGAAAAGAAAAGCUGUGGUUAUAUCAUUUUUAUUGUUGUUUCUCACAAAACACUUUUUUUGGCUAAUGCAACUCCUUGGGUUUUUUAUAUCUCUCAAAACAAUGUUUUACUGUUAUCAGACCUUUUGUAUGUAACACACAGACAUGUGCAUGUAUCUACCAUACAAGACUGCUAUAAAGUGCCAGUAAUGCACCACAAGAAUGUCUGGGCCAGGGGUGACACACUCUGGGUCGGGCUGGAGGGGCGCUUGUGCCGUGGCUCAGCCUUUAGUUAGGGCAGGAGGAGCAGCUGCUGUCGUUGUGUUCUCCUUUCCCGAUGCUUUCUGCAGCCUCCAUGUGCCAUCGUGUGCUUUGGAUACUCUUCUUUUCCAUAUAGCCAAUGAGUUACUGAUCCAUGGGAAUGGAAGGAGGGUUGGGACAGUGCCAGCUCUGGGGACAGGUUUCCAGAAGCAGAGGAGAGACCACGGGAGUGCUGCGGUUCAGGGCUCCCGGCUCCGUACGCGGCUCAGUGAGCGAAGACCCUGCCCAUCCUUGCUCUCUCCUUGCUCAGAUGUGUGCAAGGGCAGAGCUCAGUCAGGACGUGCUGACUCCCUAAGACACUGCACAGUAACCAAACCUCCACCAGCCCAACCCUGCACCUGGGAGAGGUUGGCAGCCUGUGGUUAAACCUGAAAGGAAGAGGUGCUGGAAUGAGAACCUGGACCCAAAGCACCUUCCUCUCAUUGCUCAAUCACUUCAGGAUGCAAAAUCUCUCCUCCAGCCUAUAAAGUACACAAGGUUCCCAUGCUGCUGUGGCAUGGGGCUGUGGGACUAUUGUUGGGUUUAUGGGAACAUCUGAAUACCAAACCCCAAACCCACCAAGGCCUCUCUUUGUUGACACUAAGCAAAUAAAGGCACUGAGGACAGCAGCACUGUUGGACUCAGAAAUCAAGGGCUGUUGUCUGCUCUGGGAACUGCCAGUGAUUGUACUCUGCCUUAACUCUGGGUUGGGGAAGGACUCCUGCUGGGUGACCAGUGGUGCCCCAUUUGCUCAUUGCCAGGGCAGCAGCAAGAACCCCACAGCUGGAGCUGUGGGGCUGCCAGGGGUUCAAUCUCUUCAAUGCAGUGUAGGAACCAAAUGAAGUUCGGUUCUCAAGGGAUGGUUUGGAGGGGGAGAUUUUCCAGGUGCAAGGAGAUACCUGUUUGUGUUGUAAACCAGCGUGAGCUGAGCCUUCACAGCUCCCCUUGCGCUUUUGAAGAUUUAUCCUGACACUAAAAUGACUCUGGAGGCGUUUCUAGCAGUGCUGUGUGGCUCUGCUGCGCAGUUCCUGACACGUGUGCUGGUGGGAGGCCACAGGCAAAGUUCACUCCAUUAAAAUGCCUGUGGUGUGUGUGCUGUUGGUGCCAGCAGUGCUGUCAGUGAACAUGGGGGGCAGGCUGGAUCCCCAGGGGUUUAUUCCACAAGGACAAUCCAUGUGUGGCUGCACUUCCACAAUCUUUAGGGUGGUUUAAUGACAGUGAUUUAAAAAUGGUCCAGAGAAGGGGACUGAGGAGAUUGCUGGGUAUUUGUGAGCCUCAUGUUGCCUUCUGCCACUUGCAGUACCUGCUCCAGGCUGCAGAGUGACAAGGAGUGCACAGAAUAUUGUCAGCAGUGAGGUCUUAAUCUGCUGCUAACACACCAAAAUGCUUUUUUCUCCCUGCUGCUCCUGUGAGAGGAUUCUCAGUGAGAACCAGGUAAAUGGCAUUCCCAUUCACUUCUGGCAUUAGGAUUUUGAGAAGGACAGAUUUGCCUGUUACCUCUUAGGAUUUGGGGCCAUUCCCCUUUGCUGGAGGUAACAUGAGCAGAGUGGGACAGUGCCACGGUCUGGCUGCAGCUUCUGCUGUGUCCCAGAAGUGACAAAAUGAGAGGAGGAAAGGGUGGAUUCCCCAAGGGCUUUAUACAAACAUAGGUAUUUGGAUACUCUUCUUUUAGGGCUAGAACACAGAAAGAA